UACAGAGGGUGCAAGCGUUGUUCGGAAUUAUUGGGCGUAAAGCGCGUGUAGGCGGCCUUGCAAGUUGGGUGUUGAAAGCCCUCGGCUUAACCGAGGAAGUGCGCCCAAAACUACAGGGCUUGAGUACCGGAGAGGGUGGCGGAAUUCCCGGUGUAGAGGUGAAAUUCGUAGAUAUCGGGAGGAACACCAGUGGCGAAGGCGGCCG
rnacentral:rRNA from 1 species